GACGAACGCUGGCGGCGUGCUUAACACAUGCAAGUCGAACGGAAAGGCCCUGCUUUUGUGGGGUGCUCGAGUGGCGAACGGGUGAGUAACACGUGAGUAACCUGCCCUUGACUUUGGGAUAACUUCAGGAAACUGGGGCUAAUACCGGAUAGGAGCUCCUGCUGCAUGGUGGGGGUUGGAAAGUUUCGGCGGUUGGGGAUGGACUCGCGGCUUAUCAGCUUGUUGGUGGGGUAGUGGCUUACCAAGGCUUUGACGGGUAGCCGGCCUGAGAGGGUGACCGGCCACAUUGGGACUGAGAUACGGCCCAGACUCCUACGGGAGGCAGCAGGGGGGAAUAUUGCGCAAUGGGCGGAAGCCUGAUGCAGCAACGCCGCGUGCGGGAUGACGGCCUUCGGGUUGUAAACCGCUUUCGCCUGUGACGAAGCGUGAGUGACGGUAAUGGGUAAAGAAGCACCGGCUAACUACGUG
rnacentral:rRNA from 1 species